UACGAAGGGGGCUAGCGUUGUUCGGAAUCACUGGGCGUAAAGGGCGCGUAGGCGGCCGAUCAAGUCGGGGGGUGAAAAGCCUGUGGCUCAACCACAGAAAUUGCCCUUCGAUACUGUUUGGCUUGAGACCGGAAGAGGUUAGUGGAACUGCGAGUGUAGAGGGUGAAAUUCGUAGAUAUUCGCAAAGAACACCAGUGGCGAAGGCGGCUGACUGAUCCGGUUCUGACGCUGAGGCGCG
rnacentral:rRNA from 1 species